rnacentral:rRNA from 1 species
UUGAACGCUGGCGGCAUGCUUUACACAUGCAAGUCGAACGGUAGCAGGCCUUCGGGUGCUGACGAGUGGCGAACGGGUGAGUAAUGCAUCGGAACGUGCCCAAUCGUGGGGGAUAACGUAGCGAAAGUUACGCUAAUACCGCAUACGCCCUGAGGGGGAAAGUGGGGGACCGCAAGGCCUCACGCGAAUGGAGCGGCCGAUGUCAGAUUAGCUAGUUGGUGGGGUAAGAGCCCACCAAGGCUACGAUCCGUAGCUGGUUUGAGAGAACGACCAGCCACACUGGGACUGAGACACGGCCCAGACUCCUACGGGAGGCAGCAGUGGGGAAUUUUGGACAAUGGGGGCAACCCUGAUCCAGCCAUGCCGCGUGAGUGAAGAAGGCCUUCGGGUUGUAAAGCUCUUUCGGCCGGAACGAAAUCGCGUACGUGAAUAACGUGCGUGGAUGACGGUACUGGAAGAAGAAGCACCGGCUAACUACGU